GGACAAAAAGGGAGGACUAAACACAUAAAUUCCCCUUUUUAGAAAAAAAAAAAAGAAACCUUCCCCCCUCCCCCCAAGUUAUCUGUUACGAAUCAAAAGGAAAAGAAAAAAAAAGGGUUUUCUCCCUUUCUACUCUACUAGGGCACAAAUAGAUCAGCCCCCUGCUGCUAAUGCACCCCGAUCACGAAUAACGGCGACCGGAGGAGCCCCAACCAAGUACCUUCGACCCUUUUCGCUUUCUUUAUUUUUUAUUUAAAAAAAACACUUCAAACACUAUGUCCUACUUUAAAACAACUCAAAAUAAAACCCAUGAAAAGAGAACAUCAAUAACAACAAAAGAAAUCUAAAAAAAAUGCAACCUUUGCUUUUUGAUUUCUCUGAAUUCUUUCUUGUAUAUUUGUUGAUUUUUUAGAUCUAUAUUUUAUUUUUCUGAAAAAGGAAGGGGAAAAAAAAGUUCCCAAAACAAUAAAAAUUUUAGGGCUUUAUAGUCGAAUACAACUUGUUUCUUGCUAUUUUCUUGCUCAAGUCGCAGGUGCCGUAAAGACGUGGAGGAGGAGUGCACGGACGUGAUGCGUGCGACGUGCGACGCGCGAGCUGGGGGUCGUGCGUGGGGCGUGCGGCGCUAAACUUGGCUUCUGUUUUGCUAAUGGUUGUGGGCUAGGUCUAAGGUCAAGUUUGGGCUUUCUGCUUUGGGCUGUUUUGAUUAGGGCCCUACAUACAUAAUUAGAGUGAUUCCAUUUUUACUAAUGAGAUAAGACAAAACUCCAAAUAAUAAUUUUUUUUAAGAAUUAAGAUAUCUUACAAGUCAUUUUUAUGAGAUAUCUUAAAUGUCAAUUAUACUACUAAUGAAGUUUAAUUCUUUUGGGAUUUGUGACUAUUUUUAUUAAUAAAAUUAUUUUUAAAGUUGGAGUUGAAGUUUUAUUUUUAAGAAUGCAAUGCAAUAAUAAGCCAUCAAUUAUUGAUAAAAAUAAAAAUAAGAGUCAUAUAUCAUGAUUUUAUUUAUAAAUUGUAUAUGACAAUAGAUAUUCAUAAUGUUACAUGAAGG
rnacentral:lncRNA from 1 species